GACGAACGCUGGCGGCGUGCUUAACACAUGCAAGUCGAGCGAGGCCCCUCCUUCGGGAGGGUGUCCUAGCGGCGAACGGAUGAGUAACACGUGGGCAACCUGCCCUCAGCUCUGGGAUAACUCCGGGAAACCGGGGCUAAUACCGGAUACGACCUCCACGGGCAUCUGCGGAGGUGGAAAGUUUUUCGGCUGAGGAUGGGCCCGCGGCCUAUCAGCUAGUUGGUGGGGUAGUGGCCCACCAAGGCGACGACGGGUAGCCGGCCUGAGAGGGCGACCGGCCACACUGGGACUGAGAAACGGCCCAGACUCCUACGGGAGGCAGCAGUGGGGAAUAUUGCGCAAUGGGCGAAAGCCUGACGCAGCGACGCCGCGUGAGGGACGAAGGCCUUCGGGUUGUAAACCUCUUUCAGCAGGGACGAAGCGAAAGUGACGGUACCUGCAGAAGAAGCACCGGCCAACUACGUG
rnacentral:rRNA from 1 species